GAAAGAACAACAUACCAGACAACUGGUACAGGGGAAUGACUGAAGAUCAGAAUGCAGACCAGUCUGUCACAGAUUCCCUUUGUGCAGCUGCAGCGGAGAGCCUAGAAAGCCCAGCCCGUGGAGUGGACGAGGCUAGCAUUAGUGAUGGCUGCUCAGCUGGUGAGGAAUCAUCGGAACAAACCAGGCAGAGGCUGGAAAUUCGGGUCAGGGGGAUGAUGGAGGGCAUCAUUGAAAAUUUACAGUCUGGGUUUGACUUGUACAAGGCUCCCAUGGAGAAGAUGCUGGCCUCCUAUGACAGAAUGACAACAGACAGCCAGCUAAUCUCUGCACUGGCCACAUUUGGCCGCAAAGUGCCCCUGCCGGAUCAGGGGCAUGGAGGAUGGCGAGAAGGGGCAUGCAAACAAGCAUGAAGAUUGGAGUGCAGCCGACAGCUGUGGCUCGUCGGAAGACGCCACUUAAAGGCAGGCGCGCCCUCAUUACUGGGCGGCCAACAAAAAGCUCAAUAAGGCCACGUUUAUACGUAGCAGGGUAUUUAUGGAAACGAAUAUUUCCCCCCCUCCGUUUUCCAAAAUAACAUUGUGCACACAACAUAGUUUUCAAAAAAGUUGUCGUUUACAGCAAAACGCAUAAAUACGCCGUCGAGCGCCAUUAUAACUAUGCCAAACCUAUGGGCGGCAGUGUAGGGAGAAGGAUAAAGCCAUGAAAGCCAAUCAGAAUCCUCAGAAUCAACAACAACGAAUAACACGAGGGUCUUCCUGUAACAAACAAACUGUAAACAUAGGGCGCUAUUGCAUAUUCUCGAAGAAAGUUGUCCAAUCCCGGGUUGCUUUAACUCACUUCAUUUAUUAUAAAGUCGUCGGCAUGUUUCGGUAUGGUAACUGAAGCUAUACGGAGGGAAUUGUAUCUAACACGAGUGAGAGAUAAUAACUCUGGCUACUACGGGACAUGGGCAAAGGCCCAUGUCCCCUCGCGGGUGUCGCUGAAAAUCUCUGGCCCCUUCUGGUAGUGUGCACAGGUAAGGGACCGUCAAGUGGGCGUGGCCUAGUGGGCGUGGUGGCUUCGACUUCUUCAGGUGAUGCCUUCUGUGGUGGAGCCGCUUUCAAUAAGGUCUUGCUCCCCUAGUGGCUAUGUAUAGUAUUUACGGCUUAUAUGUUUGGUCGUGCUUCAUUGG
rnacentral:lncRNA from 1 species